UACGUAGGGUGCGAGCGUUGUCCGGAAUUACUGGGCGUAAAGAGCUCGUAGGUGGCUUGCCGCGUCGUCUGUGAAAUGCCGGGGCUUAACUCCGGGAGUGCAGGCGAUACGGGCAAACUGGAGUGCUGUAGGGGAGACUGGAAUUCCUGGUGUAGCGGUGGAAUGCGCAGAUAUCAGGAGGAACAUCGAUGGCGAAGGCAGGUCUCUGGGCAGUUACUGACACUGAGGAGCGAAAGCAUGGGUAGCGAACGGG
rnacentral:rRNA from 1 species